UCUAAGGCAUUCUAGGGCAAAGGCAAGAAGUGGGAGUUUGGGGUCCAGAGGGUGGAGGUUCACAUUUCAGACCAGGGGGAGGGUGUACCACAUACCGGAAGGGUACUGGGGGUUGAGAGCAGGGGCAAGGAGGUGGCAGAGAGAGCCAGUGGGGAAGGGCUUUGGGAAAGGGGGCCUUCAGGACUGCGGUGUGGGCUACCCAAGACCUUGAUCAGUCCAUGGGGUUCUGGAAUGGAGAGCAUCUCGUUUAGAGCCUGGAGAUGAAUGGGAAAGAUCAGAGGUGCACAACAGGUGAGGUUGAGGAACCCAGCCGUGAGCCACAGAGAAUCCGGAAUUGGCUUUAAGGGGUCUUGGAAGUGGACCUGAAAACUCCCAGAAGCAGGACCACCCAGGAUGCCCGGAAGGGAGCCUCGCGUAUCCCGGAAGCAGGAGUUCGCGCCCCUACAGUCCGGCACUUACCACGCUGAAUCAGGGGUCCGCCGAUCGAUCUUAGACCAAGCCCGAGCACACACACCCCCGCCCCCUAUUUAGAGCGCCGGACUGGAGCCUCCCACUUGCAUAUGUCCAGUCCCAGUGCUGUGAGUCCACGACUUGCCUGAUGCGCUUCCGGAGCUCCCGUCGCCUCCGACUAUCCAACAUCCAGGAACCCCAAUUUCUGUCUCUCGGGUUCCUCGCAGGAGGAAAGAAGAUCAGCUUAGAGUUCAGCCCACGCGCGUGGGAGCCGGAGCGAAUCUCAGCCCCACUACUCGGGGGAGGCAAGGGACUGCUUUGGGGUCCGGUAGACCCACCAAAACCACCCACGGAAGAUGCGGCUGCAGGGGCUGAGUUGGCGUGGAGGUGCUACAGCGGGUCGGAUUCAAGUAAAUCAGAGGGGCUUCCGUUGGGGGGGAAAUUGAGUGGAUAAAGCGGAGAAUAUAGAGACCAGGCUCAAAUUGGGAGGCCAGAAUGGGCACAGACAAGCCAACUGAAACACGGAACUCUCGUUUUAUUCAGCUCUGGACGUUAAUAUUCUUUGUCCCUGCUGGGGCCGGUGUGCACGUGGGUCCAGCCCAGUCACAGCACGGGGAGAGCCCAGGAGGUGGAGUUAGGGGGUCUUGAAACUUGAGGUCACGGCCCCAAUACAUAGAUGGGUAAACUGAAGCCAGGGGAUGAGCAGAGAUGUGCCCAGCAUCACCCAGCGAGCUGGGUACUGCUCUGGCCUUGCCGCAGGCUGGGGUCCUGGAGACGUAGCGGGACUCUGGCCUCGCGCCGCCGGCGGCGCCCGUAGCUGUGGGGAUCCUGAGGCUUGCGGCCAGCUUUCCCUGAGGGCUCCUUGGUGGAGGCAGACCGGAGCCAGUAUAUGAUCUCUGGCAGGCGGUGGGUCUGGCACGUGCCCAGGGAACAGAGGCGCCCGCGCUGCUG